UAUAUGCAUGAAACAGUAAUUGCUGAAUUGUGUGCUGAAGAGAGAGCCAACUGGAAGCCAUAAUUGUGACAGCCUUCAUGGAGCAGGCUAAAGAGAGGCUAGCAAAUCAAGACAUACUGCAAAAAAAAAAAAAAAAGAUUUUUAAAUGAGCCAUUGUGUUAGAGCAUACAGAGCACAGGACUGAAAGAGAGAGACAAAUCAUGAGCGGGGGAGGGGUGGAGAGAGAAG